UUCCAUUGCUCUUAUGUUGAGAGAGAGAGAGAGAGAGGGAAAAAUCAGAUGGCGUAGGGAGAUGGGAAAGAAGGUUGUUUGGAGCGUCGGCUCUUGCAAGCCCGGCUAUGGCGUCCAUUUCUUCCGCGAUGAUUGUAUACUUGCAAUCUCACCGUUUCUUUGCCUUGUUUCGGGUCAGAUGCUGCCCAGCCCCACCUUAUCUACAUCCAGUUCCGGAAAAAAGUCAAGCUUCAGGUGGAAAAUAGGGUGGUGGAUUGGGAACCCCCUUCUGGUGGGUUUUCUUGAGUAGAGGUCUGACAGCAAUUCCUUGGGUAAUACAGUUUUGGCUAGUAUGGGAUUUGGGGAGUAUCACUUUGUGCUUUUUGUAAAAGUCACUAGGGCAAUGUCUCCUAAUUCGAAUGUCUCCACGAGGGAUUUUUUGGAAAAAAGGGUUCCUUACUUAUCUUA